CGCGUCACUCCUGGUGGACGCAGCCAAGAUCCUGGCAGCCUCUGUCGACCAGGUCAAGCUGCCCCCUGGCCUGUUUUACGCGCUGCGCAACCAGUUCUGGCUCACGAUGCCCAAUGGAGGUUACAUAGAACAAGAGGCUAAAGAAAAAGAUAUGGAGUGUGAACAACAGAAGUCUGCCAACCUGCUCAGUGAGAUCCUGCCGAGCCAGUACAUGAACGGUUUCUACGUGGACAGCGUCGACCGCGACUAUCGCGUCGUGGUGUGGGAGUAGCAGCCACCGACUCGCCCGCAGGACAUGAUCACUGAAAUACCUUCAGUUGGGCUGAGUGUGAGUUAAGAUCAAACGUCCUCACUAUACAUAUAGUGAGUGCGUUAAAAAAUGUAUGAAAAUUUUAGUUCUUGAACGUUUCCGCUAGGGGCGCUGUACAAUCCGUCAUACAUUUAAUGUAAUUUUUUUACGCGUUCACUAGUGAGAACGUUUGAUGUAAACUCACACUCAGCCCUGAGAUACUUUCACAGAUUCUAUUUAAAUACCUUUGGACACCUUCACAGAGUCUAUCUAAGGCCUUCCACCAAGGCAGAGCUUAGCGGAGAAAUGCUUGCUGUGAUUGAAUAACCAAUCAGAUGUCAUUCUGUCAACUUCAUUCGACCUGAAUGACCAGAUCUCAUUGGUUGUUCAAAAUACUUCUCAUCGGGAAACCUUCAAAUUACACUGUCCACCGUCUCUUUAAACACUCGACAUUGGAGAAACUAUUGCUUCAAAUACGCACCAUUGAAGCCAUUCAACAGAAUAAUAUUAUUAAAUACUUCUUCGAAUGAAUGUAGGUAGGUAUCUCUUUUUCUGCCUACAAAAGUGUAAAAGAGACAGAUACACUGUCACGGGGACAAAAAGUCACCCGUGCGCGCCUAAUUCGAUUCUUUGCACCACUUAUGCCAAAAGGAGGUAUUUCUGUGGUUACAAAUAGUUAUUAAUAUUUUAAGAUGGUUGGUAGAUUGUCGUUUGUCGUAAUCUUCUGCCCCAAACAAUCCAGGGUAUCGGAACAGUACAAGGGUGGCUCUAAGAAAUCGUAUACCUAAUCAUUAUAGUAAUGUAAUAGCUGACAAAUAAGUACUUGCAUUCAAAUAUUUUGCAUAGUACCUACCUGUUUAAAAAAUAUAUUUGUCGUUUGUUUGUUCAAUCCUUUUGUGCCAGCUUUUGUGAAACAAAACUAGUAGAUAACUGCCACUUUUAUAGUAUUUUAAAGGUUUAAACAUUAACAAUUAGGUAUACGUUCAUGACUUUAUGUGUAAGUAGAAAUAAAAUCCAAAUUAUGUUAUUUAAAAUCAUAUUAAUUUGGAAAUCUUUAAUGACAUCUUUAGAAAGCUA